GUGCGGGGAGGCUUAACGUUUGCAAGUCCAACCGAUGAAGCUGGAAGCUUGCUCCAGUGGAUUAGUGGUGAAAGAAAGGCUUACACGUGAGAAAUCUGCCCUUGAUCUGGUUUAACUGCGGGAAUCUGUAGCUAAUACCGGAUACUUUCCGAGGUGGGCAUCCACUUCGGAAGAAAGAAUUUCGGUCAAGGAUGAUCUCGCGGCCUAUCAGCUAUUUGGUGAGGUAUCGGCUCACCAAGGCGACGACGGGUAGCCGGCCUGAUAGGGUGACCGGCCACACUGGGACUGAGACACGGCCCACACUCCUUCGGAAGGCAGCAGUGGGGAAUAUUGCACAAUGGGCGCAAGCCUGAUGCACCAACGCCGCGUGAGGCAUGACGGCCUUCGCGUUGUAAACCUCUUUUAGCAGGGAAGAAGCGAAAGUGACGGUACCUGCCCAAAAUACACCGGCUAACUACGAGCCAGCAGCCGCGGAACUACGUACGGCGCAAGCAUCGUCCGGAAAUAUUGGUAGUACAAAGCUCUCAGGCGGUUUGCCUUGAACGCUGAGAAAAUCCCAGGCUCACCCUAGGACUCGCAUAGCGCACGGGCAGGAUCAAU
rnacentral:rRNA from 1 species